GACGAACGCUGGCGGCGUGCCUAAUACAUGCAAGUCGAGCGAAUGAUGAGGAGCUUGCUCCUCUGAUUUAGCGGCGGACGGGUGAGUAACACGUGGGUAACCUGCCUGUAAGAUGGGGAUAACUCCGGGAAACCGGGGCUAAUACCGAAUAAUAAAAGAGGAAGCAUUUCUUCUUUUUGAAAGUUGGUUUCGGCUAACACUUACAGAUGGGCCCGCGGCGCAUUAGCUAGUUGGUGAGGUAACGGCUCACCAAGGCGACGAUGCGUAGCCGACCUGAGAGGGUGAUCGGCCACACUGGGACUGGGACACGGCCCAGACUCCUACGGGAGGCAGCAGUAGGGAAUCUUCGGCAAUGGGCGAAAGCCUGACCGAGCAACGCCGCGUGAGCGAGGAAGGCCUUCGGGUCGUAAAGCUCUGUUGUCAGGGAAGAACAAGUACGAGAGUAACUGCUCGUACCUUGACGGUACCUGACCAGAAAGCCACGGCUAACUACGUGCCAGCCGCCGCCGUAAAAC
rnacentral:rRNA from 1 species